rnacentral:rRNA from 1 species
CGGGUCGCUGCAGCAAUGGGGAAUAUUGGACAAUGGGGGAAACCCUGAUCCAGCAAUGCCGCGUGUGUGAAGAAGGCCUGCGGGUUGUAAAGCACUUUCGGUUGGGAGGACUGCUUCUAGCACUAAUAUUGUUGGAAGUUGACGUUACCUUCAGAAGAAGCACCGGCUAACUCCGUGCCAGCAGCCGCGGUAAUACGGAGGGUGUAAGCGUUAAUCGGAAUUACUGGGCGUAAAGCGCGCGUAGGCGGCUAGAUCAGUCGGGUGUGAAAGCCCCGGGCUUAACCUGGGAACUGCAUCCGAUACUGUCUAGCUUGAGUACAGGAGAGGAGAGUGGAAUUCCACAUGUAGCGGCGAAAUGCGUAGAUAUGUGGAGGAACACCAAUGGCGAAGGCAGCUCUCUGGCCUGAUACUGACGCUGAGGUGCGAAAGCGUGGGGAGCAAACAGGAUUAGAUACCCUUGUAGUC